CGCCAGACUCCUACGGGAGGCAGCAGUGGGGAAUAUUGCACAAUGGGGGAAACCCUGAUGCAGCGACGCCGCGUGAGCGAUGAAGUAUUUCGGUAUGUAAAGCUCUAUCAGCAGGGAAGAAAAUGACGGUACCUGACUAAGAAGCCCCGGCUAACUACGUGCCAGCAGCCGCGGUAAUACGUAGGGGGCAAGCGUUAUCCGGAUUUACUGGGUGUAAAGGGAGCGUAGACGGCUGUGCAAGCCAGAUGUGAAAGCCCGGGGCUCAACCCCGGGACUGCAUUUGGAACUGUGUGGCUGGAGUGUCGGAGAGGCAGGCGGAAUUCCUAGUGUAGCGGUGAAAUGCGUAGAUAUUAGGAGGAACACCAGUGGCGAAGGCGGCCUGCUGGACGAUGACUGACGUUGAGGCUCGAAAGCGUGGGGAGCAAACAGGAUUAGAUACCCCUGUAA
rnacentral:rRNA from 1 species